AUAAGCCCUAGUUGGUUGAGCUGAGGAGGUGGCGUUGCUUGAUGGGACUUUGGGAGUUGGAUGGCCUCUCCCACCCUCCGUCGCCGGAGUCUUGGAGCGAGAACUAGACCCAGUGUUGCAACAGAUACAGAAGGAUCUGGAUCCUCGGAGGCCCCGCUACCCUCCGAAUCCAAACCCAAGAAGAAGAGAAGACGCCGCCGAUGCAGACACCGAGGAGGAGGGCCACCAACACCGUCAGCUCCGAGCCGAAUAUGAGACCGCGAUACUCAACCAGCUCCAGCAGGCACAGCAGCCACCGAGGCGGCCGCCGCAGCGCGGCAUGAGGGGCGGCGGGGAGAUUGUGGAGGUCCAGGGGGGUCACAUUGUCCGCGCCACCGGCCGCAAGGACCGCCACAGCAAGGUCUGCACAGCCAAGGGCCCCCGGGACCGCCGCGUCCGCCUCGCCGCCCACACCGCCAUCCAGUUCUACGAUGUCCAGGACCGCCUUGGCUACGACCGCCCCAGCAAGGCCGUCGACUGGCUCAUCAUGAACGCGAAGGCCGCCAUCGACGAGCUCGCUCCACUCCCAGCCUGGCAGCCCACCAGCCAAGUUGACAGCAUGGGAGAUUCUGGCAAAAGGCCGGUGGUGGUGGCGUCUGAGCCCGAUCCUGACCCUGAACCUGAUCCUGGUGUUUCUACUACAUUCCGGUUUGGGGAAACUAGCCGCGGCAGCGGCAGCAGUUUCCUGCCUUCUUCGAUGGAUUCAGACUCCAUUGCCGACACAAUUAAAUCAUUCUUCCCCAUGUCUGCUGUCCCCGCCGCACCGUCGCCGUCUUCAACUCAUCCAGUUGGCGUCGGUGUCAGCGGCUACCACGGUUACCCACAGGAUUUGUUGUCGCGUAGCAGUAGCCAAGAACUCCGCCUCUCGCUCCAGUCCUUCCAGGACCAGAUCUUCCACCACCAGCACCACCGAAACGAUCAUGA
rnacentral:misc_RNA from 1 species